GCCAGUGUGGCACAGUGGUGUGAGCUUUACACCACGACUCUGGAGACCAGGGUUUGAUUCCCAGCUCGGCA